rnacentral:rRNA from 1 species
GACGAACGCUGGCGGCGUGCUUAACACAUGCAAGUCGAGCGGAAAGGCCACUUCGGUGGUACUCGAGCGGCGAACGGGUGAGUAACACGUGAGUGAUCUGCCCCCCGCUUGGGGGUAGCCACCGGCAACGGUGAAUAAUACCGGAUAUGACCAUAUGUCGCAUGGCGUGUGGUGGAAAGUUUUUCGGUGAGGGAUGUGCUCGCGGCCUAUCAGCUUGAUGGUGAGGUAAUGGCUCACCAUGGCUUCGACGGGUAGCCGGCCUGAGAGGGUGACCGGUCACACUGGGACUGAGACACGGCCCAGACUCCUACGGGAGGCAGCAGUGGGGAAUAUUGGACAAUGGGCGGAAGCCUGAUCCAGCAACGCCGCGUGAGGGAUGACGGCCUUCGGGUUGUAAACCUCUUUCAGUACCGACGAAGCGCAAGUGACGGUAGGUACAGAAGAAGCACCGGCCAACUACGUG